AAACGAUUGAAGUCAGUCGUACCGACGGGAAAUCAACUAUCUUGAGUGCGAUUUUGUGGGUGGUGAUGAGCUUAACGGCCUUCAUACUUGCAAAUUUGUAUUCUUGUGGUGUAUUUUUUCGUAUGGUGGGUCAACAUCAAUUUUGAACGUUAUAAAAUGAUUGGUGGAAUGUAGCUUCGGUCUCGUAUUGAAGUGUUAUAGCCCCUGAUAGAUGUAACGAUUG
rnacentral:rRNA from 1 species